AAGAAAUUAGUUUAAACUAAAACAUUAACUUGUCAAGUUAAAAAUGAAUUUUUCAUUUCUUU
rnacentral:tRNA from 1 species